GCUUUCCUUUAUUGAUCUUAUCCUGCCUUGGAAGAUAAACAGAUUUGGGCAUGGUUAGGACUUGAAUAGGAAACCACCUGGGAAUACCAGGUGCAAUAAGCC
rnacentral:rRNA from 1 species